CUCACACAAACCGGGACCAUUUGGAUGUUUUAACCCACGAGAGAGAGAGAGAGAGAGAGACAAUGACCGACCCACUGACCUUCCUCCACCUUGUCCUCCCCCUCUUCCUCAUCCCGAGAAAGAUGCACCUGCUGAAAUGUGGCGGUGGUCGUCACAUGACACACGACUACAGCUGCUGGGCCCGAGGGCACGACGAGACACGAGGUGGACUCUCAAAAUGACAGGAGUGUGUGUGUG